UUGCAAUGAUGCUUUCUUAGGACACCUUUGAAAAAGAAUGAAAAUACCAUUUUAUGUUUCUGAGCGAC